GACGAACGCUGGCGGCGUGCCUAAUACAUGCAAGUAGAACGCACAGUUUAUACCGUAGCUUGCUACACCAUAGACUGUGAGUUGCGAACGGGUGAGUAACGCGUAGGUAACCUGCCUGGUAGCGGGGGAUAACUAUUGGAAACGAUAGCUAAUACCGCAUAAUAUUAAUUAUUGCAUGAUAAUUAAUUGAAAGGUGCAAUUGCACCACUACCAGAUGGACCUGCGUUGUAUUAGCUAGUAGGUGAGGUAACGGCUCACCUAGGCGACGAUACAUAGCCGACCUGGGAGGGGGAUCGGCCACACUGGGACUGAGACACGGCCCAGACUCCUACGGGGGGCAGCAGUAGGGAAUCUUCGGCAAUGGACGAAAGUCUGACCGAGCAACGCCGCGGGAGUGAAGAAGGUUUUCGGAUCGUAAAGCUCUGUUGUAAGAGAAGAACGGGUGUGAGAGUGGAAAGUUCACACUGUGACGGUAUCUUACCAGAAAGGGACGGCUAACUACGUG
rnacentral:rRNA from 1 species